rnacentral:rRNA from 1 species
GGAAGGGAUAAGUGCUGAAAGCAUCUAAGCAUGAAGCCCCCCUCAAGAUGAGAUUUCCCAUAGCGUAAGCUAGUAAGAUCCCUGAAAGAUGAUCAGGUUGAUAGGUUCGAGGUGGAAGCAUGGUGACAUGUGGAGCUGACGAAUACUAAUAGAUCGAGGACUUAACCAU